AUACGGAGGAUCCGAGCGUUAUCCGGAUUUAUUGGGUUUAAAGGGUGCGCAGGCGGCCAUUUAAGUCAGCGGUUAAAUCGUGGGGCUCAACCCCAUUCUGCCGUUGAUACUGGGUGGCUUGAUUGCGGUCGAGGUUGGCGGAAUUCGUUGUGUAGCGGUGAAAUGCAUAGAUAUGACGAAGAACACCGAUUGCGUAGGCAGCUGACCGGACCGCAAAUGACGCUCAUGCACAAAAGUGCGGGGAUCGAACAGGAUUAGAUACCCUGGUAGUCCGCACAGUAAACGAUGAAUACUUGUUUUCGGCGAUAUAAUGUCGGAGGCAAAGCGAAAGCGAUAAGUAUUCCACCUGGGGAGUACGCCGGCAACGGUGAAACUCAAAUGAAUUGACGGGG
rnacentral:rRNA from 1 species